CAAUUGAAGAGUUUGAUCCUGGCUCAGAUUGAACGCUGGCGGCAUGGUUAAAGCAUGCAAGUCGAACGAGAACCGGCUUCGGCCGGGGACAGUGGCGGAAGGGCGAGUAAUGCAUUCCUUACGUACCCCAAGGCGGGGGAUAGGUCGGUGAAAACCGGCGUAAUACCCCAUGUGCUCUUCGGAGGAAAGGCUUCGGCCACCUUGGGAGCGGGGAAUGUCCUAUCAGGUUGUUGGUGAGGUAAAGGCUCACCAAGCCUUAGACGGGUAGCGGGUGUGAGAGCAUGACCCGCCGCAUCGG
rnacentral:rRNA from 1 species